rnacentral:rRNA from 1 species
UACGGAGGAUGCAAGCGUUAUCCGGAUUUAUUGGGUUUAAAGGGUGCGCAGGCGGGAGAUUAAGUCGGCGGUGAAAUUUUGCAGCUCAACUGUAAAAGUGCCUUCGAAACUGGUUUCCUUGAGUGUAGAUGAAGUAGGCGGAAUUUGUGGUGUAGCGGUGAAAUGCUUAGAUAUCACGAGGAACUCCGAUUGCGCAGGCAGCUUACUAAACUACUACUGACGCUCAGGCACGAAGGCGUGGGGAUCAAACAGGAUUAGAUACCCUGGUA